UAAAGGCAUGGUCCUGACCUUAUUAUUAGCUCUAGCCCAACUUACACAUGCAAGUCUCCGCAAUCCCGUGAGUAUGCCCUUAAUCCCCUGCCCGGGGACGAGGAGCGGGCAUCAGGCACAAAUUUUUUAGCCCAAGACGCCUGGCCGAGCCACACCCCCAAGGGAAUUCAGCAGUGAUAAAUAUUAAGCCAUAAGUGAAAACUUGACUCAGUCAGGGUUAAGAGGGCCGGUAAAACUCGUGCCAGCCACCGCGGUUAAACGAGAGGCCCCAGUUAAUAAUACACGGCGUAAAGGGUGGUUAAGGGAAGCAUAACAAUAAAGCCAAAUGGCCCUUUGGCUGUCAUACGCUUCUAGGUGUCCGAGGCCCAAUAUACGAAAGUAGCUUUAAUAAAGCCCACCUGACCCCACGAAAGCUGAGAAACAAACUGGGAUUAGAUACCCCACUAUGCUCAGCCAUAAACCUAGACGUCCAGCUACAAUUAGACGUCCGCCCGGGUACUACGAGCAUUAGCUUGAAACCCAAAGGACCUGACGGUGCCUUAGACCCCCCUAGAGGAGCCUGUUCUAGAACCGAUAACCCCCGUUAAACCUCACCACUUCUAGCCACCCCAGCCUAUAUACCGCCGUCGUCAGCUUACCCUGUGAAGGCAAUAAAAGUAAGCAAAAUGGGCACAACCCAGAACGUCAGGUCGAGGUGUAGCGUACGAAGCGGGAAGAAAUGGGCUACAUUUUCUAAAAUAGAACACUACGGACAUGCAACAUGAAAUAGUGCUUAAAGGAGGAUUUAGUAGUAAAAAGGAAGCAGAGUGUCCUUUUGAACCCGGCUCUGAGGCGCGUACACACCGCCCGUCACUCUCCCCUGUCAAAAAUGCAAUAAAAAUAACUAAAGUCAAAGCACUGACGAGGGGAGGCAAGUCGUAACAUGGUAAGUGUACCGGAAGGUGCACUUGGAUUAAAUU
rnacentral:ncRNA from 1 species